UUCGUUGGUCGAAAACGUUGCUGUUUGGGAGCUCGAAAGUCACUUGAUAACCAAGCUAUCUUCUGUUCUCGCGUGCAGAGGAAACAAUGCCACCACGAGAACCUCCACAAUCGACUUCCGACCUAAACGCCACUUCAUCACACAGUAAGCAUGCAUUUAAGUUGAGCUACAUUCCUGGUUAUUUUACACGUCAUUUAGCUUGCUUUCCUUUAUCGCUGUGGGCAUCUCCUUUCUCGAUCUAUGAUUGCCGAAGACGAUCUCGGUAAGAACGGAUUGUAUAACUCCAAUGACAUUAUCCCUCACUACCCAUUAUUGCUAAAAACACCGAAUAAUUCCGUUGGCCUAAAUUAUUGUGUUACUUCUCUGUUUCCAGAAUUUCAUGACAAGCUGAUUCUCAUGGGCUGAAGCUGAACAUCUACAUUUUAGAAUACAUUCUGCAAAAUAGCGCUUAUCAAGCCGAUGGCGCAUGCUUAUGCUAUCUCUUGUAGAAUGUUCAUGUUUGGCAAUGCGCGGCAGCAAAAACCGGUUUUCGGUUUUUGUAAUAUGGGCGCAGCUUUCUUUUCCUUCAUUUUUUCCCUUUUUUUAACAUAUACAGUUUCACAUAGUUUCUGUGCACCGUGCUGUUAGGUAACAUACACGUUAAUAUCUCUUAAAAAUUAUAUAGCGUGUUCGUAUGUUGUCAUUGUAGAAAAGAACCUAAAAGCCAGGUGAACACUGUAACGUCCUGAAGGCCUAUAUUUUCUUGACCUUUGCCUUAGUCUUAACCUUACCAAACACAAUAUCCUUCGAACUCUUAGCACUACCUUAUCAGCUUCUUCGAAACUGCACAAUUUUUCUGAACUUUUCUCGCUUCAUAUGGUCAAAGCAGUUACCCCAAGCGCGUUCAGUAAUUAUAUACGGGCCACAAAACACCUCCAUUGCCAAGGCGUACUAUGUCAACUAAGUUUCGUUGAUGAUAAGCGCGAUUUCUUGUGAUUUCUUGCGCACCUUGUGAUAAAAGUGAAUAAACUGGUAUUGCUGCCAA